CAUCCUUGCAGACCAUGGGAGCAUUUUGCAGGGAUCUUGAUGAGGCGUGAAACAGUAGUGAACAUGAAGAAGUAUUGCGGUAACAGGAUUAUAGAGCUUUUGAUAGAUUAUUUUCUGAUCAUGAUAUGUGAGAGCUGUGUUUCCUAUAAUGCAAAAGUUUCGUGGGUUUGAUCAAA